CCUGUGCGCUGGUGACCUGGAGACAAGAAGGGAUACCCGCUCUGCUCCCCUCGCAGCCCCACCACUUCCUCCCCAAACGCACAGCACUGUCAGCUGGGCUUUAGACCUGCAUCACUGACCUUCAGACCCAGCUCUCAAGCUGGCAUCCCCAGUUGGAUACCAAGUGGCUUCUCAGAAUAAGCAUCACCCUUCAAAACCCCACUCUCCGAAGUCCUCCACGCUACACAACUCCAUCUGUCCCGUUGCUCAGAAGAAACAAUUCAGCCCUAUUUUUGCUCCUUUUUUCCCCUCACUUACCACAUCCAUUAGAAAACUCUGUUAGCUUGACCUGCACAAUAUCUCCAAAAUAUAUCCUCCUUGUCUCCACGACCUCCCUGGUCCAUUCCACCAUCAUCUCCUGCCUGGAGUACCCAGCAGUGCCUUGCCACAUCUCUCUCUAUCUUUUUUUUUUUUUUUUUUUCCCGCUGCCCUGGUUCCACGCUGGCUGAUUCUCAACAUAGUAGCCAUUGGGAUCCUGCUAAAUGAGGGUCUAAUCAUUCAUCCGUUCUCCUCGAAGUCUCCCCGAAUCUUGCACUGACCUGCAGGGGUCUUCCAUGGGGUCUACAGCAUCUUUCCAGCUUCUCUUGCUCCUUUUGCCUCCCUGUGCUGUCAAAUGCCAGCGUCUUGUUGCUUCCAUGACACACCAAGCCUGCUUCUGCCUCAGAGGCACUGCCCUCACUGGCCGCCUUUUCCCUCUUCUCGGGACAUUUUUCUCUCAGGUAAACAAAGCCUGUUUAGCUCAGCGGUAGAGUGCAUGCUUAGCAUGCAGGAGGUCAUGGGUUUGAUCCCCAGUACCUCCAUUAAAUAAAAAUAAUAAUAAAUAAAUAUAUAAGCCUAAUUACGUCCCCCCGAAAAACAAAACAAAAAAAAAUUUUUUCAAAAAGCCUGUUUCCUCCCUGUCUCCAAGUCUUUGUUCAAACAUCACCUCCUCACACUCAGGUACAGAAAACCCACCCCAGUGUGUCACCUGCUCCUUUUCCUUGCGUGAUUUUCCUCUAAAUAUGUGUCAAUCUCUGACACGCUCACAUUUUCUUAUUUCCUUUCAAAAUUCUUGUCCCCGUAAUGAAAGCACCUUGAUGCCAGAGUGCUUCUCAUUGCCUUUGUUUUAUUGUAGUAAAACAGCCAUAAAAUAAAACACCAUUUAACAUUCUUAUACAGUACAAUUCAGUGGCACUGAAUACAUUCACAAUGUCAGGGGAACCGUCAUGACCGUCUAUUUCCAGAAUGUUUUCAUCAUCCCAAACAGAGACUCUGUAUCAGUUACACAGUAACUCCUCGCCAUCCCCUCCCACCCCCCGCCCCGUCUCCUAUCUGCAAGCAACGCCACUCUACUUUCUGUUUUGAAGAAUUUGCCUUGUAGGUCGCUCAUAUAAGCAGAACUGUACUGUAUUUGUUCUUUUGUGUCUGACUUCUUCUCUUUUCCUUAAGAAAGUAAAGUGAGGAUGUAUUGUGAUAGAACACUCUCAAGGGGAGAGCGGGCAGACUCAAGUGAGUGCUGCCUGGCUUCUCUCACUUAAUAUGUCAUUUUCAAGGGUCGUCUGUGUUGUAGCACGUGUCAGAAUUGCACUCACUCCUGUGUAAGGGUGCAUGUUAUUUUAUUGUAUGCGUAUGCCACAUCUGGUUCAUCCAUUCUUCGGCUGACGGACUCUAGGAUUGGUUCCACCACUGCUGUGAAUUUUGCUGCUGUGAACAAUGGUGUGCAAGUAUCUGUUUUGGAAUCCCUGCUUUCAGUUCCUUUGAGUUUACACCGAGGAGUGGAGGGGCUGGGUCUUACGGUAAUUCUGUUGACCUCUUGGAGGAUAUUCAAAGCGUGUUCCACAAGGCUGCCCUGUUUUCCCUUCCCACAAGCAACAUGUGAGGGUUCCAAUCUGUCCACAUCUUCGCCAACACUUGUUA